CGUUUGAUUAUAUUCUUAAUCUAUUUAUGUGUUCCAGUCUAGGAGGAUUAUUCAUCUUUAACGUUAAAACAUCGUACCGUCGCUACCUUUCCCUCUCUCAAACUGAACAUUGCAAGGUCAUACCAGUUCUGGAGAACUUUUCAAAGGACAAACGUCAUCUAGGACACAAUUCGUGGCUAACCACAGAGUGAGUUAACUUUACAACAUUGUUUUUGAAGCCUUCAAAUUACUCUAUACAUAUUUGAACAUUCUCUCUGUGAAACACUG
rnacentral:lncRNA from 1 species